AUUGAACGCUGGCGGCAGGCCUAACACAUGCAAGUCGAACGGUAGCACAGAGAGCUUGCUCUCGGGUGACGAGUGGCGGACGGGUGAGUAAUGUCUGGGAAACUGCCCGAUGGAGGGGGAUAACUACUGGAAACGGUAGCUAAUACCGCAUAACGUCGCAAGACCAAAGUGGGGGACCUUCGGGCCUCACACCAUCGGAUGUGCCCAGAUGGGAUUAGCUAGUAGUUGGGGUAAUGGCUCACCUAGGCGACGAUCCCUAGCUGGUCUGAGAGGAUGACGAGCCACACUGGAACUGAGACACGGUCCAGACUCGUACGGGAGGCGGCAGUGGGGAAUAUUGCACAAGGGGCGCAAGCCUGAUGCAGCCAUGCCGCGUGUAUGAAGAAGGCCUUCGGGUUGUAAAGUACUUGCAGCGGGGAGGAAGGCGGUGAAGUUAAUAACUUCACCGAUUGACGUUACCCGCAGAAGAAGCACCGGCUAACUCCGUGCCAGCCGCCGCGGUAA
rnacentral:rRNA from 1 species